CCUACGGGAGACAGCAGUGGGGAAUAUUGGACAAUGGGCGAAACCCUGAUGCAGCGACGCCGCGUGAGUGAAGAAGUUAUUCGUUAUGUAAAGCUCUAUCAGCAGGGGAGAAAAUGACGGUACCUGAGUAAGAAGCCGCGGCUAACUACGUGCCAGCAGCCGCGGUAAUACGUAGGGGGCAAGCGUUAUCCGGAUUUACUGGGUGUAAUGGGAGCGUAGUCGGCAGUGCAAGUCUGGAGUGAAAGGCGGGGGGUCAACCCCCGGACUGCUGUGGAAACUGUACGGCUGGAGUGCAGGAGAGGUAAGUGGAAUUCCUAGUGUAGCGGUGAAAUGCAUAGAUAUCAGGCGGAACACCAGUGGCGAAGGCGGCUUACUGGACUGUAACUGACGCUGAGGCUCGAAAGCGUGGGGAGCGAACAGGAUUAGAUACCCGAGUAGUC
rnacentral:rRNA from 1 species